AACGACGCUGGCGGCGCGUUUUAAGCAUGCAAGUCGAGCGGCAGGGGGGCUUCGGUCCCCGAGAGCGGCGGACGGGUGAGUAACACGUGGACAACCUGCCCCCCGGUUCGGGAUAGCCCAGGGAAACCUGGAUCAAUACCGGAUGCGAGGGCGGCCGCACAAGCGGCCGUCGGGAAAGGCGCUUCGGCGCCGCCGGGGGAUGGGUCCGCGUCCCAUUAGCUAGACGGUGGGGUAACGGCCCACCGUGGCGAUGAUGGGUAGCCGGCCUGAGAGGGUGGACGGCCACAUUGGAACUGAGACACGGUCCAGACUCCUACGGGAGGCAGCAGCUAAGAAUCUUCCGCAAUGGGCGAAAGCCUGACGGAGCGACGCCGCGUGAACGAAGAAGGCCGUGAGGUUGUAAAGUUCUUUUCGGGAGGGGGAACGAGGCUGCCAGGCAAUGGGCGGCCGAUGACGUGAAUCCCGGAAUAAGCCCCGGCUAACUACGUG
rnacentral:rRNA from 1 species